ACCAGCCCUUGAGUGAGUCCCAGUUUACUCCUCCUCCGGGGAAGGGUAAGCCCGGGCCACCGGGCUCGGGGACCAGCCAGCGACAGAUCUCUCCAAGAGAUAUUCUGAAAAAGGACACCACAGAAAGAGAAUGGAGAGAAAGCAGGAGGCAAGUUCUGACGGCGAACCAUCAUGCACGAUGUGUUAGGUCUCUUAACUUCUCGGAGGCUCAGUUUCUUAACCUAAAAGAGAGACAGAGCAUGAACGGGGGAGGGGCAGAGAGAGAGGGAGACACAGA